AUGCCUCGGCCGCAAGAAGGCAACAAGAGGGCCGCUCUGGCCCGCGGCGAGGGCAUCAUCGGCGCCCUACCGGACGAUCUCCUGCAGCACGUGCUCUCCUUCCUCCCGGCGCAGCAGGCCGUGCGGACCUGCGUGCUCGCCCGGCGCUGGCGCGGCCUCUGGAAAUCCGCCACAGGCCUGCGCAUCACCGGUGUCCAUGAGUCGGAGGUGACGCCCGUCCAGGAGCUCCGCCUUCUGCUCCUUCGCUGUCGAGCGCCGAUCGACACGUGCGAGCUCAGGUUCGCCGUGGUCUCCGACGACGACGUGCCCCGUGUGAGCCUCUGGAUCCGGCACAUUAUGCUCUGCCAAGUUCGGCUGCUCCGGCUCGAUAUCUCUCGGGACGGCUAUGGUGUUUACUUUUACGUAGACAACCUGCCUCUUGCCUCUCAGCAUCUGACGAGGCUAGAGCUCAUUGACACAGGGUUAAACGACAGCUUCCUCGAUUUUGCCGGCUGUCCGGUGCUGGAAGAUCUAGUAAUCAUCAAUGGCUGUUUCGUCCAUGUCAGGAGGAUCUCUUCAAAGUCUCUAAAACGCCUGGCCAUUGCUGAUAGCAGUUUCAAUCAGCAUGCCCGUACUCGUAUUUACGCUCCAAGUUUCGUUUCUCUACGACUCGAGGACAACUGGGACAGGACUCCUGUGCUUGACAGCAUGCCGUCGUUGAAGGCUGCAUUCGUCAGAUUUAUCAAAGAAUCUGUGGACAGGUGUUUUUAUUCCGACUCUUGGGAUUGCCACAACGAGGACUGUCAAGGUUGUUACGAUCUACAGGCUGUUAACUCUCAUGACUCGGUGCUUCUCAAAGGUUUAUCAGAGGCUGAGAAUUUGACAUUGAUAGAUGAACAUGACACGUUUAUUUUCAGAAGGGAUUUGAUAUGGUGCCCUACAUUUAGUAAGUUAAAGACCUUGUUACUCAAUGAAUACUGGUGCGUGCCUGACGACUUCCGCGCACUAGCUUUUAUUCUUGAACACUCACCAUUUCUGGAGAUUCUCACUCUUCAGUUCUUUUCCAAGGGACCUAAUCAUAAAGUGGAAAUAAAAGGAGGUUACAAUGCAGUGGAGACCUCAGCUGCAAUAUCAAAACAUCUUAAGGCAGUCGAAGUCAAAUGUAACUCGGUUGAUGCGGAGGUUCUCAAAAUUUUGAAGUUCCUUGGUACACUUAACAUAUGA
rnacentral:rRNA from 1 species